GUUACCAAAAACAUCGCCUCUUGUAAUAAAAAAAUAAGAGGUCCCGCCUGCCCUGUGACUAUAAGUUUAACGGCCGCGGUAUUUUGACCGUGCGAAGGUAGCGCAAUCACUUGUCUUUUAAAUGAAGACCUGUAUGAAUGGCAUAACGAGGGCUUAACUGUCUCCUUUUUCCAGUCAAUGAAAUUGAUCUCCCCGUGCAGAAGCGGGGAUAAAUACAUAAGACGAGAAGACCCUAUGGAGCUUUAGACACUAAAGUGGAUCAUGUCAAUAACCCCUAAACAAAGGGCUGAACCUAAUGGAACCCACCCUGAUGUCUUUGGUUGGGGCGACCGCGGGGAACUAAACAACCCCCAUGUGGAAUGGGAGCACCCCUCCUACAGCUGAGAGUUACAACUCUAAUAAACAGAAUUUCUGACCAAAAAGAUCCGGCAAAGCCGAUCAACGGACCUAGUUACCCUAGGGAUAACAGCGCAAUCCUCUUUUAGAGCCCAUAUCGACAAGGGGGUUUACGACCUCGAUGUUGGAUCAGGACAUCCUAAUGGUGCAGCCGCUAUUAAGGGUUCGUUUGUUCAACGAUUAAAGUCCUACGUGAUCUGAGUUC
rnacentral:rRNA from 1 species